GUUCAAGCAAUUCUCCUGCCUUGACCUCCUGAGUAGCUGGGAUUACAGGGUGAGAAGAAUGAUCACAGAGGACAAAUAAGCACAGAGGCAAACACACCCAGGACUUAUCAGGGAGCACGAUCCACAAGUAUAUGUGCUUUCUUCAGGAGCUCUUGCAAGGCAGGCCUGGUGGUGACAAAAAUCCCUCAGCAUUUGCUUGUCUGAAGAGGAUAUCAUUUAUCCUUCACUCAUGAAGCUUUAGCUGGAUAUGAAAUUCUGGUUCUACUGUUUCGUUUGAGGUCCUACAUGUAAGUGAGAACACGCGACAUUCAUCUUUCUGUGCCAAGUUUACUUAUAAUGUCUUCCAGGAGUGCCCAUGUUUUUAUGCCUCAAAACACCUGUGCGAUAAAAGCCAAACAUCCCCUAAAAGAAGGACUGAAACAGCAGAAUCCUAAUACUAGAAAUUAAUCAUUUGAGUACAUUAACAGUGAGAAUGGGAACAUUCCUUGUCACUUAAGUUUCUAUAGAACUAUAUCCAAUAUUUGGACUGUUUUUAUAUUUUAGAAAUAUAUUGAAUGUUGUGUCAAUGUUUGAUGUUGUUCUUGUAGAGUAUUUGUAUUUUCCAUUGCCAUGGUGAGAGAGUAAGCUUAGUUUUAGUUUCUGUUUUUGUUUUCUCAUUACAAAUUUUCAUGAGUAAUAUUGUUCAUGAGUAUCUCACUGCUUCAAAACCACUUGGAAAGGAAACCAAUUUCACCAGAAAAAGCCAAUUUUUUCACCCUUCUUUGUAAAAGAAUUGGUAGAUUCUGUUGUCAAAAUCUUCAGAGAGCAAACUCUUUCAGCGUAAUAAAUGUAAUGCAAAUCUCUUUUGUCUUCCAAAUUUUACAUACCAAAUAUGGGAAUCAGUUUCUCAGUGUCUAAGAUGUAUUUGAAUAAAUUGAAUAAAAAUCAACCCCUGUGGAACAAAAGAAAAACAAAUGUACACAUGCACACACAUAUAUGCAACUUUAUGUCACUAUUUUUUAAAAUGAAAGACUAUUCUUUCUGGAGCAGAAAUGCUAAUAUUCUUUUCCUAAAUUCACGUUAGUUUGGGAAUUAUGAAUUGAAGGGCCUCCUAUGAUUAAUGUGUCUAUAUCAUUUCUAGAUAAAUUUAGCAUUUUUCUAGGUUUUUGAAAUAAUAUGUGUGACAGUUCUUUCAGAAAGAUAAAUAUGAUUCAAUCUCAAAAAUCAUAGUCUAUGUGCUCAAUCUAUGUGCUCAGUCUACAUGCUCAAUUCUUUACUAGUGAUGCAUUCU